UAACUGCCUUUUAAAGUUGAGGCUGGUUGUGAGUCCCCCCCCAUCCCUGGCUCCUCAGAUUUGGGGAAAUUUUACUCCAUCUCUCAAACAAGAAGAUAAUCUCUGCUCAACCCGCCUCCCAUGUGGUUUUGUAUAUUCAAAUGAGAUGAUGAUUCCGUGAGGCUUCCUGUUCUCUGGCUGCCCUCCGCAACCUGAAAGAAUCGGGAGCUGAUAAGUAACUUCAGGCACUGGACUACAGGCCCUUGUAGACACCGGCUCCUUGGGUACCACCAGCUUGGAGAGAGGAGUGGCUUAAGGAAAUGCUGAUAGAAUUGUUAUUCUGUGCAUAAGCAUUCAUUUCCCUAUUUCUCCCUCUAUUCUGCUAUGAGUGGUUUUUGUUUUGUUUUGUUUUGUUUUGUUUUUUGUCAUUAAAUUUUCUUAAAGUUAUUGACUCC
rnacentral:lncRNA from 1 species